UAUUAAGAAACGAUGCAAAUCCAGGGAUCCGUGAUAAGCAAGGAUACAAUGCAGUUCAUUAUUCAGCUGCUUAUGGUCACCGUCUAUGUCUUCAGCUGAUUGCAAGUGAAACUCCUCUAGAUGUUUUAAUGGAAACCUCAGGAACAGACAUGCUGAGUGAUUCAGAUAAUAGAGCAACAAUAAGCCCUUUACACUUGGCUGCCUAUCAUGGUCACCAUCAAGCACUGGAAGUGUUGGUACAGUCUUUGUUAGAUCUUGAUGUCAGAAAUAGUAGUGGAAGAACACCCCUAGAUCUUGCAGCUUUUAAGGGCCAUGUUGAAUGUGUGGAUGUACUCAUUAAUCAGGGAGCCUCAAUCUUAGUAAAAGAUUACAUUUUGAAGAGGACACCUAUACAUGCAGCAGGUAUGCCAGAUAUUAUGCUUGAUUUAUUUAUAACUUCUAUCCAAUACUUUUUUCAAUUUCUGAUAUAUAAUAUUUCCGGUUAAUUGUCUUUAAAAUUUUGACCUUUUUUUGUUUCAAAUCAUAUAUGGAUUAUUUGACCUCACCAAAUAACUUUAUUCACACAAAUGAAUUUACAAAG
rnacentral:sRNA from 1 species